rnacentral:lncRNA from 1 species
GCGGGAUAAAUGCGUGCAGAGCGCACGCUCUCGGCGCCGAAGAGAACUUUGCUCCGCGCUUCAUCGCUGUUUCUUGAUUAGUUUCAUUGAUGUUCUUCAGAAUGUUAGUUUCUUUAGUUUUCAUUGGUGUUUUAAGUCGCGAUCCCGAAGGUUACUUUAGUUUCACGCUGAAAAACUAAGGCUUUAUCGCGCCAUUCCUGCAGGAAGAGAAGAACGAGUUUAAGAUGGCAGAUGAUUCUGAUCAGAGAUCAGUGUUAAUGGAGAUCACAGAACCACAGGCCAAAAUCACAGGACGUCUGAGAAGAUCCUACAUGGAUAUCCUGUCCGUCGGUGCGAGACACGGGACGCACGGCUGCGGCGUGAGACCUGGACACGCGUGGGACGCAGGUUCAGGGAGACGCCGGAGCAGAGGCGCUUUGGACGCGUGUGAGAUGUCCGUCUCCAGACAGCUGCUCCGCAGUCUUCUGCUGGCCGAGCAGUCCGUUCAGAUGGAGUCCGGCUCCUUCACGUCUGACCUCAAGCUCUUACUGGAGGAUCUGCAUCUGAAGAAGACCAGCGUCUACAGAUCCAUCCCGUACUCCCGCCUGGCCUCCAACCGAGACGCACACUGCUACAGGAAAGCCCGUCCACACCUGAUGGCCUUCAGGCGCUCGUGUCAGGACGGAGGCCGUCUGCUCCUGCAGAAUGCCGAGUGGGAGAAGCUGCUGGAGUUCGUUCAGGCGGCGUGUCGCUACACCAGUGAACUCCCGCAGUGGGAGACCAGCACCCAUAAUGCACUGCGAGAGCACUGCUACAACACGCUAGCAGCGUUCUGUACCGCGGCACUGCAGAAACACAGACCCGCCGUGCGCAGAGCUCGAGAACUGCUGCGCAGGUUCAAAAUGGCUCCGGUGUCGAGGCGAGCGAUCAGCCUGUGUUUAGAAGAGCUGGAGAAGAUCCUGCAGGAAUAUCAGAGCGGAAAAUCACAAACACAGAUCCACCCGUGAGUCUUGCGUUCAGACGAGAGGGCUGCUGAUGAGUGACGUCACUGAGAUCUCAUUGUGACACACGUCGAUCCAUCAGACCCAUCAGAGCAUGUGAUUCGCCCAUCAGAGCAUGUGACCCAUCAGAGCAUAUGACACGCCCAUCAGAGCAUGUGAUUCACCCAUGAGAGCAUGAGACCCUCCCAUCAGAGCAUGAGACCCUCCCAUCAGAGCAUGAGACCCGCCCACCAGAGCAUGAGACCCGCCCAUCAGAGCAUGAGACCCGCCCAUCAGAGCAUGAGACCCGCCCAUCAGCGCAUGAGACCCGCCCAUCAGCGCAUGAGACCCGCCCAUCAGAGCAUGUGACCCACCUAUCAAGAGCAUGAGACCCAUCAGAGCAUGUGAAUCGGCCAUCAGAGCAUGUGAAUCGGCCAUCAGAGCAUGUGAUUUGCCCAUCAGAGCAUGAGACCCAUCAGUGCAUGUGAAUCGCCCAUCAGAGUAUGAGACCCGCCCAUCAGAGCAUGAGACCCAUCAGAGCAUGUGAAUCGCCCAUCAUGAGACCCGCCCAUCAGAGCAUGAGACCCGCCCAUCAGAGCAUGAGACCCGCCCAUCAGAGCAUGAGACCCGCCCAUCAGAGCAUGUGAAUCGCCCAUCAGAGCAUGUGACCCACCUAUCAGAGCAUGUGACCCACCCAUCAGCGCAUGAGACCCAUCAGAGCAUGUGAUUCACCCAUCAGAGCAUGAGACCCAUCAGAGCAUAUGACGCCCAUCAGCUCAUGAGACCCGCCCAUCAGUGAAUCGCCCAUCAGAGUAUGAGACCCACCAGAGCAUGAGACCCGCCCAUCAGAGCAUGUGAAUCGCCCAUCAGAGCAUGAGACCCGCCCAUCAGAGCAUAUGACCCACCCAUCAGAGCAUGAGACCCAUCAGAGCAUGUGAAUCGCCCAUCAGAGCAUGAGACCCGCCCAUCAGAGCAUGUGACCCACCCAUCAGAGCAUGUGAAUCGCCCAUCAGAGCAUGAGACCCGCCCAUCAGAGCAUGUGAUUCGCCCAUCAGAGCAUGUGACCAUCAGGCCACACCUGCCUUACUUUAGUGAUGAAAGGACCCAUAGUUCCUUGCUGUGACUGGACUGAUUACUUGAAUUCUGUUUUAUUUUGGUGCUGUAUUCAGCUGUUGUAAAUAUGUUUGUAUGUGAACGUUUGUCUCGUCUGUCCGUGCUGCACUUUUAAAUGUCUCCGUCUGUUUUAGUUUGUAAUAAAUCCAUUUGUUUUUUCUUUAAGGAAUGUCUUGUUUCUCUUCUUGUGUGGCGUUAAUUAUGACAGACAGUGAUUCCAGCUCGUCCCUCAGUGAGUCUACUCAAACAGGAAGCAGUAGAUGUGCAUAUAAUGAUGCUGAGAAGGUAAUUGUGCAGCAUCACAAACUCAUAACACCAUAAACACCAUCAUAA